CGGCCCGGCCAUAGCGGCUGGGCAACACCUGGACUCGUCAGAUCCCAGAAGUUAAGCCAGCCGUGUUGGGGUUCCCCGUGAGCUCCGAGAGGGCUCGCAGGGACCCCAAGCCGGGACCG
rnacentral:rRNA from 1 species